AUUGAACGCUGGCGGAAUGCUUUACACAUGCAAGUCGAACGGCAGCACGGACUUCGGUCUGGUGGCGAGUGGCGAACGGGUGAGUAAUAUAUCGGAACGUAUCCAAUAAUGGGGGAUAACUAAUCGAAAGGUUGGCUAAUACCGCAUACGUCCUACGGGAGAAAGCUAGGGACCGUCGGGCCUGGCGCUAAUGGAGCGGGCGAUAUCGGAUUAGCUGGGUGGGGAGGUAAAGGCUCACCAAGGCGGCGAUCCGUAGGUGGACGGCGAGGACGGCCAGCCAGACUGGAACUGAGACACGGACCAGGCUCCUACGGGAGGCAGCAGUGGGGAAUUUUGGACAAUGGGCGGAAGCCUGAUCCAGCCAUUCCGCGUGAGUGAAGAAGGCCUUCGGGUUGUAAAGCUCUUUCGUAAGAGAAGAAAACUUACCCUCUAGCAUAGGGUGAGGUUGACGGUACCUUGAUAAGAAGCACCGGCUAACUACGUGCCAGCCGCCGCCGUAA
rnacentral:rRNA from 1 species